GUAUAUUUCGAUGCUGCAACUAAAUAUUUUAUUAAAUAAAUACAUAAUAAAUAAAAUUGAUUUUCAGGUAUAUGUAUCUACCGAAUCGGGAUUUCUCCGGCCAUGCCGCUGUUAUUGUUCUCAGAUUCUUGUACAGCAGUGUUCCUACCCCGGCCCCGGCCUCUGCCCCUAGCUCCACCACGACCUCUGCCAACAUUUUUAACGUUACACACCUGGAAGUGGACGUUUUCGUGAGGUUUUCUGUUGGUUUUCCUCCUGAUUAUUGUGUUCGAUGACGCGGCCUUGUU